rnacentral:rRNA from 1 species
UUGCACAAUGGGCGCAAGCUGAUGCAGCGACGCCGCGUGAGGGAUGACGGCCUUCGGGUUGUAAACCUCUUUCAGCACAGACGAAGCGCAAGUGACGGUAUGUGCAGAAGAAGCACCGGCCAACUACGUGCCAGCAGCCGCGGUAAUACGUAGGGUGCGAGCGUUGUCCGGAAUUGCUGGGCGUAAAGAGCUCGUAGGUGGUUUGUCGCGUUGUUCGUGAAAACUCACAGCUUAACUGUGGGCGUGCGGGCGAUACGGGCAGACUGGAGUACUGCAGGGGAGACUGGAAUUCCUGGUGUAGCGGUGGAAUGCGCAGAUAUCAGGAGGAACACCGGUGGCGAAGGCGGGUCUCUGGGCAGUAACUGACGCUGAGGAGCGAAAGCGUGGGGAGCGAACAGGAUUAGAUACCCUGGUAGUCCACGCCGUAAACGGUGGGUACUAGGUGUGGGUUUCCUUCCUUGGGAUCCGUGCCGUAGCUAACGCAUUAAGUACCCCGCCUGGGGAGUACGGCCGCAAGGCUAAAACUAAAAGAAAAUUGACGGGGGCCCGACAAGCGGCGGAGCAUGUGGAUUAAUUCGAUGCAACGCGAAGAACCUUACCUGGGUUUGACAUGCACAGGACGUGCCUAAAGAUAGGUAUUCCCUUGUGGCCUGUGUGCAGGUGGUGCAUGGCUGUUGUCAGCUCGUGUCGUGAGAUGUUGGGUUAAGUCCCGCAACGAGCGCAACCCUUGUCUCAUGUUGCCAGCGCGUUAUGGCGGGGACUCGUGAGAGACUGCCGGGGUCAACUCGGAGGAAGGUGGGGAUGACGUCAAGUCAUCAUGCCCCUUAUGUCCAGGGCUUCAAACAUGCUACAAUGGCCGGUACAAAGGGCUGCGAUGCCGUGAGGUGGAGCGAAUCCUUUCAAAGCCGGUCUCAGUUCGGAUCGGGGUCUGCAACUCGACCCCGUGAAGUAGGAGUCGCU